rnacentral:rRNA from 1 species
CAGUAGCCGCGGUAAUACGUAGGUGGCAAGCGUUGUCCGGAAUUAUUGGGCGUAAAGCGCGCGCAGGCGGAUAGGUCAGUCUGUCUUAAAAGUUCGGGGCUUAACCCCGUGAUGAGAUGGAAACUGCCAAUCUAGAGUAUCGGAGAGGAAAGUGGAAUUCCUAGUGUAGCGGUGAAAUGCGUAGAUAUUAGGAAGAACACCAGUGGCGAAGGCGACUUUCUGGACGAAAACUGACGCUGAGGCGCGAAAGCCAGGGGAGCGAACGGGAUUAGAUACCCCAGUAGUCCCUGUCUCUUAUACA